CCCACGCUCGCGAGUCCUUUAGGGGGAUCCCCGCUCCCUGAGAUGGUCGGCGCCUGGUCGUCGCGGCCUCGCGCUGGUUGAAGUAGAAACUUGGCCCUGGCGGGUCUGCGUGUUCCUGGUCUCAAGGCCGUGGUUCAGGCCAAGGUGAGUGAGAGCAACAUUGGAUCAUGGGAUCUUGGUUGCCCUGCAACUCAAGAGAUACCUGGCUUCAAUGUUAGCAGUGAGCAACAGCAGAGCUGAGAACAGAGACGGGGUCUUGCUCUGUUGCUCAGGCUGGAGUGAAGUGACACGAUCACAGCUGACUGCAGUAUGUAACCUUUUGGGAUUGGCAUUUUUCACUCAGUAGAACUCUCUGGAGAUUGAUCCAGAAUGUUUUAGGCAUAGGCGUUGCUCCCGCCCUGGAGCUCUAGGUCGGCGUCCUCCCGCGAGCAAGUGAAGUGCUGGGUCUAAGGGUGCCCAAGGAGCCCCCAGAACGCUCCAGUAGCCGAGUAGCCGUGUCAGAGGCAGCAGGUGGCCACUUUCGCCCUGAGGGGGCUCCGCAGCUGCCUGCAGCCCUCUGCCAGUGCUGACCCUUCUCUUCGCGGACCCCACGCCAAGCAGCUACCCUGAGUUGACAGCCUGAGCGCCCGGCAAUGGCAGCCUGGAUGGCCUCGCACCCGCCCAUCAAUGGGAUCCUGAAGAACAAAACCUCUACGACUUCCUCUAUGGUGGCAUCUACCGAACAGGCUGCGGUUGUGUCGACGAGGAACUGAGCACAAAAUCCCAGAAGUGGGAUGAAAUGAACAUCCUGGCGACGUAUCAUCCAGCAAAGACAAUGGUUUAAUGAAAAUAGAUGAACCAAGCACUCCUUACCACAGUAUGUUGGGUGAUGAUGAAGAUGCGUGCAGUGAUACAGAAGCCACUGACGCCAUGGCACCAAGUAUCUUAGCUAAGAAAUUAGCUGCUGCUGAAGGCUUGGAGCCAAAAUAUCGGAUUCAGGAACAAGAAGGCCGUGGAGAGGAUAGUGACCUCUCACCUGAAGAAGGAGAGAAAAAAGCGACAAUUUGAAAUGCAAAGGAAGAUUCACUACAGUGAAGGACUCAAUAUCAAACUAGCUAGACAAUUAAUUUCAAAAGAACUAUAUGUUGAUGAUGAAGAUGAAGCAAUGUUAGAGACUCCGGGUGGAGAAAGCCUGAAUAUGGAAGAAUCAAAUCAAGGUUCUACUGCAAGUGACCAACAGCAAAACAAACCACGAAGUUCAUAGGAGAGAUUUGUUCAACACUGCAGUUGUUUGUUAGAUAUAAACCCUGUUGCUAUAAUCUAUUGCUUCUUCUUCCCCACAAUUCAUGACUUAAGCACCAAAAUGAUACCAGUUAUUAUACAUUGCCAAGAAUUAAAUGAUGACCUUAGAGGCUGACUAGACUGAAAAUGCCUGGUUGAGAUAUAUAUAUUCUUGUGCCUAGCACUUUACCACAAAUACAGUGUAAUAUCAUCAGUCCAAAACUGCACUACUUUUGUAAAAACACUGGCGAAUUUGUAUAAGAUCGUGUAUAGUUUUGUGUAUUAGAGGUUAAGCAAUAUCUUUGGGGGGGAACUAAUUUAUUUUCAUCACUCUAAAUAUGGUGGUAGCUCUUAUAAAGUUUCUUGAUUUGUUGUUGUUUUAAAUCAAAAGCCAAUUGAACAACAGGAUAUGUAGACUGAAAAAUAUUCAUGCUGAAUAGUAUUUUACCACUUGCCUUCAAUUUGAUUUGUCUGUUUCAUUGAAAAGGAUUCUAAGUCAGUUGCAUUUUCUGGCCACUACCUUUAAAAUUCCUGUUGAGUUUCUUUGUAUUUACAAGGAAAGGUCUGAACUUUUUCUCAUCAAAACUAGCCUUUUUUCCUCCCUACGUAUUAUAAAGUUAAACUUGCACUAAUGUCUGCUUUUUUUUUUUAAAUGUUUUUGAUACACUGAGCAGACUUCAGAGCAGUUUUUUAAAAAAAUAAACAUUCUAAUGUAGUUUAUCUCAGCACUCCCUUUAAAUACCUGUCUUAACCUUCUGCUUUUAUUUCCGACCCUUUUCCACACAUAUGCACACAAUGUUUUACCUUUUAAAGGAUUAUUAAGAUUGUCACAACAUUAGGAACUCUUUAUGCCUGUCAAUUCUUCUAAUACAUGAAGAAAAUAGAUUGAGUAACAGCAGUAAUAGGUGGGAAAUACAGUUUAACUGCUGAAUUUCUAUACUUCUCUGAUUUACAGCUUGCUAAUUAAAUUGCUAUUAUUAGUUUGUCUUAAUUACACUUAAGAAAACAACUGACUGAGGGUUUUCUUUUUUGUUUUUUGAGGGUUUUUAUGUUUUGUUUUUUGAGGUUUUAUUUUUUUUUUUGGCAUGAAGAGAGAAUUGUAUGUAACCCAUGAUACGGUUAUUGCUGAAUGUACAGACAGAAGCAAGCAUGGACAUUGUUUAGUUCAAAAACUUUAAAUAGUCACUGCUUUAAGGGAAUAUGAUAAUGUAUACUAUGACAAAUGUACCUUAUUCUUCUAACACAGUAAGAAUUACUUGGAAUUUUUCCUGAAAUGAAGUUCAGGAAAGCCCUGUGUAUCUUAGUUUAGUGGUGGCUCAUUUCUAGCCAUAUGAAUUGUAUACAAUUUUUGUUAGUACCAAAAUAAUCUGUUAUAUGAACAGACUUCUAAAAUAAUGUCUGUAUAUUAUAUAUAUAUGAAGGCUUUUAUUGAACAGUUUAUCUUUCAUGUGCAAGUUAAUGGAAAUAUCAGUAGGUCAAAAUAAAUAAAAAGUGGGGAAUUCUUUGCUGUUAGAAGAAUGUGCUUAUUAUUUUGAUUUCUUAAAUGGGAUACAAAGUACUGCUGAACUAUAGGUAAAGUAUCUACUAAACAUUUCAGCUAGUAAUACCACUGAUUUAGAAAAAAACUUUUUUUUUUUUUUUGCUUUCUGAAUUUAGAAUGUUGGGAUUACCUGUUUAAAUCUGUUUUGAGGGAUGUAGAGAUUAAGUCUGUACAGGUUGGGUGCAGUAGCUCACGCCCGUAAUCUCAACACUUUGGGAGGCUGAGGCAGGCAGAUCACGAGGUCAGGAGUUUGAGACCAGCUGGCCAACAAGGUGAAAUCCCAUCUCUACUAAAAAGACAAAAGUUAGCCUGGCGUGGUGGUGAGUGCUUGUAAUCCCAGCUAUUUGGGAGGCUGAGGAAGGAGAAUUGCUUGAACCUGGGAGGUGGAGGUUGCAGUGAACCAAGACCUUGUCAUUGCACUCUAGUCUGGGCGACAGAGUGAGACUGCAUCUCAAAAUAGAGAGACAGAGAGAGAGAGAGAGAUUGAUUAAGUCUGUACAUAUGUGUGCACAUAUAUUCAUGCACUCUCUGAUUUUGGUUUCCUCAUUUUUGAGUUCCUAGAAAGUAUUCACAUACUCCUUUUUUUUUUUUUUUUUUUUUUUUUUGGUAGAAGUAGCUAUUGUAGAAUGAAGAAAAGGGUAAGACUUUAAACAGUUGAUUCUUUUUGUGUUUUCUACAAACUAUUUUUUGAAAUUUAAAUCACAAGCAAACUCAUUUUCUGGUUUUUAGAAAGUAGAUGAUGAUUUCAGAGGCAUAAGACAUGCCGAACAGCAUGCUCAGUGGGAUUUUAGGUAGUCAAGUGCAGCUGAGAAAAAGUCUUUUCAAGUCAUAAGUUGCUAAUUGAUAUGGUAUGAACUAGUCAAAAUAUGAACCAUUAUGAUUCAAGUUAGAUUUUCCUCUAGAGACAGAUCUGAAUGUUUAUUUCUAGCGAAGGCAGAUUUUACUUUCAACUUUUAAAUCAAUAUCACUUUCUGUGCUUAACUCUUUGGUGUUACCUUGUCCAUUUUCAUUUGUCUAAAAUUCUGCAGGGAUGACUAAAAUUUGACAUAAUGAUAUAAAUGGAUUGUUAAGGGUAACUUUAAGCUGAAGAUUAAAGCAAGAUGCCAUUUUCCCUAUGACUUUCAUUUUGUUUAUAUUUUUUUCUUUAUGUUAGUAUACACUACACAUACUAUAAUAAAAUA